rnacentral:rRNA from 1 species
CUAUGUGUUGUUGGGUAGGGGAGCGUUCUGUAAGCCUGUGAAGGUGUACUGUGAGGUAUGCUGGAGGUAUCAGAAGUGCGAAUGCUGACAUAAGUAACGAUAAAGCGGGUGAAAAGCCCGCUCGCCGGAAGACCAAGGGUUCCUGUCCAACGUUAAUCGGGGCAGGGUGAGUCGACCCCUAAGGCGAGGCCGAAAGGCGUAGUCGAUGGGAAACAGGUUAAUAUUCCUGUACUUGGUGUUACUGCGAAGGGGGGACGGAGAAGGCUAUGUUGGCCGGGCGACGGUUGUCCCGGUUUAAGCGUGUAGGCUGAUUUUCCAGGCAAAUCCGGAAAAUCAAGGCUGAGGCGUGAUGACGAGGCACUACGGUGCUGAAGCAACAAAUGCCCUGCUUCCAGGAAAAGCCUCUAAGCAUCAGGUAACAUCAAAUCGUACCCCAAACCGACACAGGUGGUCAGGUAGAGAAUACCAAGGCGCUUGAGAGAACUCGGGUGAAGGAACUAGGCAAAAUGGUGCCGUAACUUCGGGAGAAGGCACGCUGAUACGUAGGUGAAGUCCCUCGCGGAUGGAGCUGAAAUCAGUCGAAGAUACCAGCUGGCUGCAACUGUUUAUUAAAAACACAGCACUGUGCAAACACGAAAGUGGACGUAUACGGUGUGACGCCUGCCCGGUGCCGGAAGGUUAAUUGAUGGGGUUAGCGGUAACGCGAAGCUCUUGAUCGAAGCCCCGGUAAACGGCGGCCGUAACUAUAACGGUCCUAAGGUAGCGAAAUUCCUUGUCGGGUAAGUUCCGACCUGCACGAAUGGCGUAAUGAUGGCCAGGCUGUCUCCACCCGAGACUCAGUGAAAUUGAACUCGCUGUGAAGAUGCAGUGUACCCGCGGCAAGACGGAAAGACCCCGUGAACCUUUACUAUAGCUUGACACUGAACAUUGAGCCUUGAUGUGUAGGAUAGGUGGGAGGCUUUGAAGUGUGGACGCCAGUCUGCAUGGAGCCGACCUUGAAAUACCACCCUUUAAUGUUUGAUGUUCUAACGUUGGCCCCUAAUCGGGGUUGCGGACAGUGUCUGGUGGGUAGUUUGACUGGGGCGGUCUCCUCCUAAAGAGUAACGGAGGAGCACGAAGGUUGGCUAAUCCUGGUCGGACAUCAGGAGGUUAGUGCAAUGGCAUAAGCCAGCUUGACUGCGAGCGUGACGGCGCGAGCAGGUGCGAAAGCAGGUCAUAGUGAUCCGGUGGUUCUGAAUGGAAGGGCCAUCGCUCAACGGAUAAAAGGUACUCCGGGGAUAACAGGCUGAUACCGCCCAAGAGUUCAUAUCGACGGCGGUGUUUGGCACCUCGAUGUCGGCUCAUCACAUCCUGGGGCUGAAGUAGGUCCCAAGGGUAUGGCUGUUCGCCAUUUAAAGUGGUACGCGAGCUGGGUUUAGAACGUCGUGAGACAGUUCGGUCCCUAUCUGCCGUGGGCGCUGGAGAACUGAGGGGGGCUGCUCCUAGUACGAGAGGACCGGAGUGGACGCAUCACUGGUGUUCGGGUUGUCAUGCCAAUGGCACUGCCCGGUAGCUAAAUGCGGAAGAGAUAAGUGCUGAAAGCAUCUAAGCACGAAACUUGCCCCGAGAUGAGUUCUCCCUGACUCCUUGAGAGUCCUGAAGGAACGUUGAAGACGACGACGUUGAUAGGCCGGGUGUGUAAGCGCAGCGAUGCGUUGAGCUAACCGGUACUAAUGAACCGUGAGGCUUAACCUUACAAC